AUGGAACGGUGGAGAUUGGAGAAGAUGUACUUGCUGGAACGGUGUAUGGUGCUGUUGCUGCCUUGCUGGAAGCCUGGAACGGUAGAGAAGAUGCGGACUGCAGUUGCCAAACCGCUCCGCCCGGGAGGUGCCCGCUAUCCGCGACCCGGGAUAGCGGCGAUAGCGCCCGCUAUCUUCUCUCCGCCACCGCACCCUUGUGCGCGUGCGGCAGGCCUCCGCUCUGGAGCGCCGCUAUAG